rnacentral:rRNA from 1 species
CGAGGAUAACAAUCGGAAACGGUUGCUAAGACUGGAUAGGAAACAAAAAGGCAUCUUUUUGUUUUUAAAAGACCUUCUUCGGAGGGUAUGCUUAAAGAGGGGCUUGCGCCACAUUAGUUAGUUGGUGAGGUAAAGGCUUACCAAGAUUAUGAUGUGUAGCUGGACUGAGAGGUUGAACAGCCACAUUGGGACUGAGACACGGCCCAAACUCCUACGGGAGGCAGCAGUAGGGAAUUUUCGGCAAUGGAGGAAACUCUGACCGAGCGACGCCGCGUGAACGAUGAAGUAUUUCGGUAUGUAAAGUUCUUUUAUUGAAGAAGAAAAAAUAGUGGAAAAACUAUCUUGACGUUAUUCAAUGAAUAAGCCCCGGCUAACUAUGUGCCAGCAGCCGCGGUAAGACAUAGGGGGCGAGCGUUAUCCGGAAUUAUUGGGCGUAAAGGGUGCGUAGGCGGUUAGAUAAGUCUAUAAUUUAAUUUCAGUGCUUAACGCUGUCUUGUUAUAGAAACUAUCUUGACUAGAGUGAGAUAGAGGCAAGCGGAAUUCCAUGUGUAGCGGUAAAAUGUGUAAAUAUAUGGAGGAACACCAGAAGCGUAGGCGGCUUGCUGGGUCUUUACUGACGCUGAGGCACGAAAGCGUGGGGAGCAAACAGGAUUAGAUACCCUGGUAGUCCACGCUGUAAACGAUGAGUACUAAGUGUCGGGGGUUAACUCGGUACUGAAGUUAACACAUUAAGUACUCCGCCUGAGUAGUACGUACGCAAGUAUGAAACUUAAAGGAAUUGACGGGACUCCGCACAAGCGGUGGAUCAUGUUGUUUAAUUCGAAGAUACACGAAAAACCUUACCAGGUCUUGACAUACUCUGCAAAGCUAUAGAAAUAUAGUGGAGGUUAUCAGGGAUACAGGUGGUGCAUGGUUGUCGUCAGUUCGUGUCGUGAGAUGUUAGGUUAAGUCCUAAAACGAACGCAACCCUUGUCGCUAGUUGCCAGCACGUAAUGGUGGGGACUUUAGCGAGACUGCCAAUUAAAAAUUGGAGGAAGGUGGGGAUAACGUCAAAUCAUCAUGCCCCUUAUGAUCUGGGCUACAAACGUGAUACAAUGGCUAUUACAAAGAGUAGCUGAAACGCGAGUUUUUAGCCAAUCUCAAAAAGGUAGUCUCAGUACGGAUUGAAGUCUGCAACUCGACUUCAUGAAGCUGGAAUCGCUAGUAAUCGCGAAUCAGCAUGUCGCGGUGAAUACGUUCUCGGGGUUUGUACACACCGCCCGUCAAACCACGAAAGUUAUCAAUACCCGAAAGCAGUGGCUUAACUUUGCAAGAAGAGGGAGCUGUCUAAGGUAGGGUUGAUGAUUGGGGUUAAGUCGUAACAAGGUAUCCUUACCGGAAGGUGAGGAUGGAUCACCUCCUUU